rnacentral:ribozyme from 14 species
AAAAGAAAGAAAAACGAGAAAAGAAAAGAAAAGAAAUGAAAUUAAAAAAAGCAAUGAAUUUUUAGCCUCGUCCGGGUUUCCGA